rnacentral:tRNA from 1 species
CUGAGCGGAGCAGCCUGGUAGCUCGUCGGGCUCAUAACCCGAAGGUCGUCAGUUCAAAUCCGGCCCCGUAAACAA